rnacentral:tRNA from 1 species
GCCUGCUUAGCUCAGCUGGUUAGAGCUUCCGUUUCAUACGCGGGUGGUCACUAGUUCAAAUCUAGUAGUAGGCA